rnacentral:rRNA from 1 species
UGGGGAAUCUUGGACAAUGGGGGCAACCCUGAUCCAGCCAUGCCGCGUGAGUGAUGAAGGCCUUAGGGUCGUAAAGCUCUUUCGCCUGUGAAGAUAAUGACGGUAGCAGGUAAAGAAACCCCGGCUAACUCCGUGCCAGCAGCCGCGGUAAUACGGAGGGGGUUAGCGUUGUUCGGAAUUACUGGGCGUAAAGCGCACGUAGGCGGACCAGAAAGUUGGGGGUGAAAUCCCGGGGGCUCAACCCCGGAACUGCCUCCAAAACUAUUGGUCUAGAGUUCGAGAGAGGUGAGUGGAAUUCCAAGUGUAGAGGUGAAAUUCGUAGAUAUUUGGAGGAACACCAGUGGCGAAGGCGGCUCACUGGCUCGAUACUGACGCUGAGGUGCGAAAGUGUGGGGAGCAAACAGGAUUAGAUACCCUGGUAGUCCACACCGUAAAACGAUGAAUGCCAGUCGUCGGGUAGCAUGCUAUUCGGUGACACACCUAACGGAUUAAGCAUUCCGCCUGGGGAGUACGGUCGCAAGAUUAAAACUCAAAAUGAAUUG